rnacentral:rRNA from 1 species
GCUGCGGCAGGCUUAACACAUGCAAGUCGAGCGCCCUGCUUGCAGGGAGCGGCAGACGGGUGAGUAACGCGUGGGAACAUACCUUUCGGUUCGGAAUAGCCCCGGGAAACUGGGUGUAAUACCGAAUACGUCCUUAGGGAGAAAGAUUUAUCGCCGAAAGAUUGGCCCGCGUUAGAUUAGAUAGUUGGUGAGGUAACGGCUCACCAAGUCGACGAUCUAUAGCUGGUUUGAGAGGAUGAUCAGCCACACUGGGACUGAGACACGGCCCAGACUCCUACGGGAGGCAGCAGUGAGGAAUCUUGGACAAUGGGCGAAAGCCUGAUCCAGCCAUGCCGCGUGAAUGAUGAAGGCCUUAGGGUUGUAAAAUUCUUUCAGCAGGGAAGAUAAUGACGGUACCUGCAAAAGAAGCCCCGGCUAACUCCGUGCCAGCAGCCGCGGUAAUACGGAGGGGGCUAGCGUUGUUCGGAAUUACUGGGCGUAAAGCGCUCGUAGGCGGAUUGGUCAGUCAGAGGUGAAAGCCCAGGGCUCAACCUUGGAAUUGCCUUUGAUACUGCCAGUCUUGAGUUCAGGAGAGGUAAGCGGAAUUCCGAGUGUAGAGGUGAAAUUCGUAGAUAUUCGGAGGAACACCAGAGGCGAAGGCGGCCUUACUGGACUGA